GGGUCGUAAAGCUCUGUUGUUAGGGAAGAACAAGUACCGGAGUAACUGCCGGUACCUUGACGGUACCUAACCAGAAAGCCACGGCUAACUACGUGCCAGCAGCCGCGGUAAUACGUAGGUGGCAAGCGUUGUCCGGAAUUAUUGGGCGUAAAGCGCGCGCAGGCGGUCCUUUAAGUCUGAU
rnacentral:rRNA from 1 species